rnacentral:rRNA from 1 species
UACAGAGGUCUCAAGCGUUGUUCGGAUUCAUUGGGCGUAAAGGGUGCGUAGGUGGUGACGCAAGUCUGGUGUGAAAUCUCGGAGCUCAACUCCGAAACUGCAUUCGAUACUGCGGUGCUUGAGGACUGGAGAGGAGACUGGAAUUCAUGGUGUAGCAGUGAAAUGCGUAGAGAUCAUGAGGAAGACCAGUGGCGAAGGCGGGUCUCUGGACAGUUCCUGACACUGAGACACGAAGGCCAGGGGAGCAAAAGGG